rnacentral:rRNA from 1 species
AACGUAGGAGACGAACGUUAUCCGGAGUUACUGGGCGUAAAGGGCGUGUAGGCGGUUUGUUAAGUCUGGCGUGAAAGCUCUCGGCUAAACCGGGAGAGGUCGUUGGAUACUGGCGAACUAGAGGAUGGUAGAGGCGUGUGGAAUUCCGGGUGUAGUGGUGAAAUGCGUAGAGAUCCGGAGGAACACCUGCGGUGUAGACGGCUUACUGGACGGUAACUGACGCUGAGGCACGAAAGCGUGGGUAGCAAACAGG